AGUUAACCCACUUCUGACUCGGGCCUGAUGUGACUGGGGUUUGGGCCGGUGCUUCCCUAUCACACUUCUCGGCUAAUUCAGGGAGGCAAUGCCAGCCAUCUGCAUAAGCUACAUAAUGUGGGGUCAAGUUCACAGGUAUUGUAUUUUAGAAUUAAAUAUUAAUUAAAUAAUAUGAACUGUGGUGCACUCAAUUUUGAUUAUACACAGGGUUACUGCACACGUGUUCGUGCAGCUCAUCAAGAGGCCCAGAGAAGUUUCCACCAACAGUAUUCCAGGAGCUGAUGUAACAGAGUCUUCAUAAGCAGUUAUUCUGUGACCCUCGACAACCACUUGCAGCACACAAGUUUAGUUCCCGUAUUUCGGAUUGAGAAGUUGAACGGAAUUAUAAAGGAGCUCGUUAAAGAGAAGGAAGAAGAUAAAGAAAGGUUCAAUGGAAUUAUAGGAGGGUUGAUGGCUCAAAUGGAAAAAAGAGAAAGAAGAGAAAGAAGCUAUGCUCCUUAGGAUGACAAAGAUUGAAGCUAUGCUAACAACUUCGAUCCGCAAAUAAGUAUAAACAUUUUUAGCUUUAAUGUUUGGUUUAGGAUGUUUUAAUUGGGAUUGUUUGAUAUUUUGAUUUGGAUGUUUAUCAUGAGGAUGAUGCAAUGUUUGUUACGAUCUUGAAAUUUUAUAAAUUUAGUUUUU
rnacentral:lncRNA from 1 species